rnacentral:rRNA from 1 species
AUACGUAGGUGGCAAGCGUUGUCCGGAAUUAUUGGGCGUAAAGCGCGCGCAGGUGGUUCCUUAAGUCUGAUGUGAAAGCCCCCGGCUCAACCGGGGAGGGUCAUUGGAAACUGGGGAACUUGAGUGCAGAAGAGGAUAGUGGAAUUCCAAGUGUAGCGGUGAAAUGCGUAGAGAUUUGGAGGAACACCAGUGGCGAAGGCGACUGUCUGGUCUGUAACUGACACGGAGGCGCGAAAGCUUGGGGAGCAAACAGGAUUAGAUACCCUGGUAGUCCACGCCGUAAACGAUGAGUGCUAAGUGUUGGGGGGUUUCCGCCCCUCAGUGCUGCAGCUAACGCAUUAAGCACUCCGCCUGGGGAGUACGGUCGCAAGACUGAAACUCAAAUGAAUUGACGGGG